UACGUAGGGUGCAAGCGUUAUCCGGAAUCAUUGUGAGUAAAGAGCUCGUAGGCGGUUCAACCAGUCGGCUGUGAACGUCAGAGGCGUAACCUCGGAAUUGCAGUCGCUACUGUUGUGACUCGAGUCCGGUAGAGGAGAAUGGAAUUCCCGGUGUAGCGGUGAAAUGCGCAGAUAUCGGGAGGAACACCAGUAGCGAAGGCGGUUCUCUGGGCCGGCACUGACGCUGAGGAGCGAAAGCGUGGGGAGCAAACAGG
rnacentral:misc_RNA from 1 species